UAUGGACACUCUCGCGCCAUUAUUGUAGUUUCUUAUUCUCUAAUUUCAACCCACGUUUAGCAUAUCAAUACUUAUAUGUAAAUCUCAACUGAAAGAAAAUCUCAAGCUACAGUAUCCCCCAAUUUGUCUGUCACUCUUGAAUUUUAAGUUUCACAAUCCUUUCAGCUAACUGCUUUGAAAUCGCAGAUAUGGCACCUAGGGGAGGUGGACCAAGUAGAUAUUCUGAAAAAGGAAUGUGAAUCCGCUGUCAUCCCAUCCUAUGUUUACUCUCGCACCUAAUCAAACACCAAUAUCACCUGAAUCCUCGGCACCAGAAACACCACAUUCAGUCGCAACAGUCAAUAGAUCUGUACCAUCAUCAUCUUCUGGGCUUGAUACACCUAGAGAUGAAAUAGGAUCAGCAAGAUCUUCAAAUACAAUUGAUGGUACUCAUAUCCAAAUUGAAAUCGUCCUUGGAGGGUAAGAGUACAAGUGCCACACCAUUUACAUUUUUAUUAAUUUUGGUUUCAUGCUUAUAUUGUAUGUAUCAAUCCAUCUUUGUGAAUUGAUAUGAGAUUGAUGUUUAGCAUCUGCAUAUAGUAUACAUAGUCUGGACUAAUGGUUUGGGGACGAUUUUCUUGUUAUUGACAUGUAAAAAAACUUAUUUGUUUUAAAGAAGACAAUUUAGUUGUCAUACCAUGUUUCUGAAUAAAAUGACUUUGAUUAUGAGUGGAUAGUCUAUGAGUAAUUUUGACUACAAAAAUCUUCCUGUGAUAUUAUCAAACAACAAGAUCGUCUCUCACUAUCUACAUAUAAAGAGGUUGAAUUUUGAACUAGUAAUUAUUUCAUUUUCAUUAAGUCUAUGAAGAAAGAAUGUUGCGGUCUAUAGAUGUCUACGUUGAGCUCUUAUGCAUAUGCAAUCUUUGUGCUUUGAUAGUUGUUGUUCUGCUCUAGCACCAGGACGUUCUUACAAAGAAACUAGAGGAAUGGCACGAGCCUCUUAUCUUUUUAAAUAUGGCAGGCCAAGGACUUCAAAUGAAUAGGCCAUUUGAUUUAUCUGUUGUAGCAACAAGGUGCUCUUGUUCAAGAAAUGGGAGAAAGUUGAGAGCUUAUCCUUUUUCAAUAUGGUGCAAUGGUUGCAAAUCAAUAUAUGCUUAUGGAGUUGUCUUAUUAGUCAAACCAUUUGUCUUAUAUUUUAUAUGAAGUAAGGCGACUGUGGCGAUGAGUAGUACUAAAACAGUGGUAGAAUUGAUGGCAUUAUUAAGGCCUUCAACAUGAAUUUAUCUAUGUGUUUAGCAAUGCCGCGUAUAUGAUUUCUUGUAUGUGGUGUAUGUUUCAUUUGAUAGUGCACUUCAUGUUUCCAUGUCAUUAAUUGUUUGCUUAAAUUCUCUUGAUGACUUUGUUGCCUGAGACUCGACGCUCACGCACUUUGUACACAUGUUCCCUUUAGAAUGGCUGCAAUAUUAUCUUGUCCCAGUUUCUAUGUAGUAUCAAGGGUUGUUUCACUGGACCUAUUGUAGUAGCAAGUAAUCUGCCUUAUUUUUUCGCUUAUGUGUUAUCUUUUACCUGACUGGUGAGUGUAAAAUUGUUAGGCUUAUCACUUAUUCAAGCCCGGAUCCAAAUAAUAAUGUAGCUCGAGCAGUCACAAAAAUCUUCAAGGAGAAGCUGGAUCACGAAGGACAUAAUUGGAAAUUCGUUACACCAGAGACAAAGGAUUUCUAUUGGGAGGAGUUUAAGAAAAGAUUUCGAUGGGAUAUUGCAAUUGAAGGUUCCAUAAAGGAUGCGUUUAUGAGCAUAUGUGCAGAACAAUACAAGGGUAUGUUAUCUGAAGCAAGAGCAUGUGAGAAGAAGCGCAAACAUAUCUUAGUAUCUAUUUGGGAUAGCUGGAAGCCUCAUUGGGAGACUAAGGCUUUAAAUCCAAGUUUGCACAAUGUUCAAAAAAUCGACUAAGUGAAAAAGGUGGCGAAGGAUCUGGCCCCUCACGCCAUACAGGAAGCUCUAGAACUCACCGAGAACAUGCAAGACUACUGGGUAUAGAUCUAGAAAGACCACCUCAUCCACAUGAGCUUCUGAAGAAGACACAUCUCAAGGCGAAUAAUGAGUUUGUGGACCAGAAGUCUAAGAGCACAUAUCUUGAAGAUGGAUCCCAUGAGCCUCCAACGGUUAAUUUCUCGCAAAUUUAUUUGGAUGAAGUUGGCGGGGUUAAGAAGACGCGCAUUUAUGGUCUUGGUUGUCAAGCACCUCUUUAUAGACAUGUUGGUGCAUCCUCCACUUCAACAUCUUGGCAUCCAGAUCUAGACUUUGAUGCUCGGGUGAAUGAAUGUGUCAGACAAUGUAUGCAAGAAAUGAAGGAAGAGAUGAAGAAUGAGAUGAGAGCAGAGAUCAGAGAAUCAAGAAAUGGAAGAAGAAAUGCGACAAGAAUUGCGUGAAGAAUGAGACAAGAAGUGCAGCAAGAGGUGACUGAGCAAGUUGAUCAAAUACUCCAAUCACGUAUGUCUCUCAUCAUAGCCGGCUUACCUAGCUACACCUUCUUCUCGUAGACGUGACUCUUCAUCAAAUAAUGACAAGAAUCCUAUUUAGAUUUAUUUAGAGUCUUUUAUGUUAGACACACUUUGGAUCGUUUAUUAACUUUAUGAUGGAUGUUAUUGUUUAAGAAAUAGCUAUAGUUUUUU